AUUUUUUUUCUCUCAGCCGUUCCAUCUUCCUAAACAUCUUUAGGGUUUUUUACAUUGCAGCCGCCUGUUCUUCUCCGUGUUCAAUCUUUCAUCUCAAUGGUACACACUCAAAACCCUAGCGCCUCCCUCACUUUUUCUGCAGAUCCAUAUGUUGGAAUGGAAGAGUUUCACAAUCACGAAACCCUAGCCCUCAUCAUCUUCCCUGUUUUGAUUCAAGAAGCUAGGGUUUGUGGUUUUGGUAAGUUUUUUCGAUCUAUAAACUAAUCCAUGUCUGAUUGUUAUCAGUAUGAUUAUAGUUACGAUUCACAGUGUUUUAGUCUUUUUAUUGUUUCACAAAGAUCUCAUCUACAUUCUCCACCAUUGGCUUCAUUCUAUCUUAAAUGAUUUAAUAACCCGUUUCAAGUUAAAAACCCUAACUAAGAGCAUUUCAUCUUCAGAUCUGCUGUUGCUUUGGUUGUUAAGGGAUCGUAGCUUCUUGCGUAAAGUACUAAAGUGUUGAAAACAAGAAAAUCAGAUCCACUAAAGGAUGUAAUAUUGGGCUGCUGGUUUUAGUGAUCUAAGCCCCUCAGAAAUUGAUUGCCCCCCAAACAAACGCAGGGAUGAUCCCAAUGAGGUUUGUGAAUAAAGAUGGUUACAAUUAAUCCAAAAGAGUAUUCUUUGCAUACAAGCUGUGUGAGUUAGCAAGAAGUGGCGUGCCACCUUAUAUUGGCCCUAAUGUGUGGAGGCUUCUCUUGAUUUAACCAUCAAAUUGUACAAAAGUGCCCUUCUGAUGCUAGAGCAUUCAAAAAGUAUGGAUUUAGAUGACAAAAUAUUGGAGAAGACUUUGAUAGACCUGGCGGAGUUGCUUCAUGUUGUAGGAUGGUAUGAUUUAUAUGUCCUAGAUUUUUCACACUUACAGGUCAAUAUUCAGGUUGUAAUUUAUUGAUAACGGGUCAAGCAUGUCUUAUGUAGAAAAGUAGAUGAUAAUGAAAUGGGUCAACAAUUCGGAUGAGUGUAAAAUGGGCUGAAAGUUACCAAACUUGUAUUUAAAUGAUAUCUUUUAAGUCAUCUUA